rnacentral:lncRNA from 1 species
GGAACCUCCAGGCUGAGCAGCAUGGAGGGGCUCUCCCUGACGGGCAGCCUCCCGCUGAUACUGUUGCUUCUGAGCCCAGUUCCUGAAGCAGCCUUGCCACUGCCCUCCAGCACUAGCUGCUGUACUCAGCUCUAUAGGCAACCACUCCCAACCAGACUACUGAGGAGGAUCGUCCGUGUGGAGCUGCAGGAGGCUGACGGGGACUGCCACCUCCAAGCUGUUGUGCUUCACCUGACUCGGCGCAGUGUCUGUGUUCAUCCCCAGAACCGUAGCCUGGCUCGGUGGUUAGAACGCCAUGGGAAAAGGCUCCAGGGGACCCUACCCAGUUUAAAUCCGGUACUACAAAAGAAAAUGUGCCCGAGCCCCCAAAAGCAAAAGUAAUAAAGCAACAUUAGACGAUAAUCUCCAAAAA